rnacentral:rRNA from 1 species
GGAGCUUGCUCCACCGGAAAAAGAAGAGUGGCGAACGGGUGAGUAACACGUGGGUAACCUGCCCAUCAGAAGGGGAUAACACUUGGAAACAGGUGCUAAUACCGUAUAACAAUCGAAACCGCAUGGUUUUGAUUUGAAAGGCGCUUUCGGGUGUCGCUGAUGGAUGGACCCGCGGUGCAUUAGCUAGUUGGUGAGGUAACGGCUCACCAAGGCCACGAUGCAUAGCCGACCUGAGAGGGUGAUCGGCCACAUUGGGACUGAGACACGGCCCAAACUCCUACGGGAGGCAGCAGUAGGGAAUCUUCGGCAAUGGACGAAAGUCUGACCGAGCAACGCCGCGUGAGUGAAGAAGGUUUUCGGAUCGUAAAACUCUGUUGUUAGAGAAGAACAAGGAUGAGAGUAACUGUUCAUCCCUUGACGGUAUCUAACCAGAAAGCCACGGCUAACUACGUGCCAGCAGCCGCGGUAAUACGUAGGUGGCAAGCGUUGUCCGGAUUUAUUGGGCGUAAAGCGAGCGCAGGCGGUUUCUUAAGUCUGAUGUGAAAGCCCCCGGCUCAACCGGGGAGGGUCAUUGGAAACUGGGAGACUUGAGUGCAGAAGAGGAGAGUGGAAUUCCAUGUGUAGCGGUGAAAUGCGUAGAUAUAUGGAGGAACACCAGUGGCGAAGGCGGCUCUCUGGUCUGUAACUGACGCUGAGGCUCGAAAGCGUGGGGAGCAAACAGGAUUAGAUACCCUGGUAGUCCACGCCGUAAACGAUGAGUGCUAAGUGUUGGAGGGUUUCCGCCCUUCAGUGCUGCAGCUAACGCAUUAAGCACUCCGCCUGGGGAGUACGACCGCAAGGUUGAAACUCAAAGGAAUUGACGGGGGCCCGCACAAGCGGUGGAGCAUGUGGUUUAAUUCGAAGCAACGCGAAGAACCUUACCAGGUCUUGACAUCCUUUGACCACUCUAGAGAUAGAGCUUCCCCUUCGGGGGCAAAGUGACAGGUGGUGCAUGGUUGUCGUCAGCUCGUGUCGUGAGAUGUUGGGUUAAGUCCCGCAACGAGCGCAACCCUUAUUGUUAGUUGCCAUCAUUUAGUUGGGCACUCUAGCAAGACUGCCGGUGACAAACCGGAGGAAGGUGGGGAUGACGUCAAAUCAUCAUGCCCCUUAUGACCUGGGCUACACACGUGCUACAAUGGGAAGUACAACGAGUCGCGAAGUCGCGAGGCUAAGCUAAUCUCUUAAAGCUUCUCUCAGUUCGGAUUGUAGGCUGCAACUCGCCUACAUGAAGCCGGAAUCGCUAGUAAUCGCGGAUCAGCACGCCGCGGUGAAUACGUUCCCGGGCCUUGUACA